AGCGAACGCUGGCGGCAGGCUUAACACAUGCAAGUCGAGCGGGCCCUUCGGGGUCAGCGGCGGACGGGUGAGUAACGCGUGGGAACGUGCCUUCUGGUCUGGAAUAACCCUGGGAAACUAGGGCUAAUACCGGAUACGCCCUUUUGGGGAAAGGUUUACUGCCGGAAGAUCGGCCCGCGUCUGAUUAGCUAGUUGGUGGGGUAACGGCCUACCACGGCGACGAUCAGUAGCUGGUCUGAGAGGAUGAUCAGCCACACUGGGACUGAGACACGGCCCAGACUCCUACGGGAGGCAGCAGUGGGGAAUAUUGGACAAUGGGCGCAAGCCUGAUCCAGCCAUGCCGCGUGAGUGAUGAAGGCCUUAGGGUUGUAAAGCUCUUUUAUCCGGGACGAUAAUGACGGUACCGGAGGAAUAAGCCCCGGCUAACUUCGUG
rnacentral:rRNA from 1 species